rnacentral:rRNA from 1 species
CACGUAGGCACCAAGCGUUAUCCGGAUUUAUUGGGCGUAAAGAGCUCGUAGGCGGUUCGGUAAGUCGGGUGUGAAAACUCUGGGCUCAACCCAGAGAGGCCACCCGAUACUGCUGUGACUAGAGUGCGGUAGGGGAGCGGGGAAUUCCUGGUGUAGCGGUGAAAUGCGCAGAUAUCAGGAGGAACACCAGCGGCGAAGGCGCCGCUCUGGGCCGUAACUGACGCUGAGGAGCGAAAGCAUGGGUAGCGAACAGG